rnacentral:rRNA from 1 species
AUGUGUCAGCUCAACUGUGCUACCAGAGCACCAAAGCCACCAACCAACAACUAUGACCACACAUCUCGUCUCUUUACUGUCUUGUGUCAAAGGGCAGCACCGCAGUGUGAAACUUGCACAAACUGUCAAUUUCGCACUGCGCCCACCACAUUUAUUCCGGAGAGCUCAGCCUGUGAAAGUGAAGCAUCAUCAUCUCAACCACCACCACCCAUUGCCACCCCAAUAAUCACCAAAGGGAUAACAAGUACUACUACUAGCACUACCGUUUCCACAUCCAUGUCAGUUCUUGGAGCUAGAACAAGAGAGUUGAUAGCCAAAUCCCAAGUUUUUAUCCUUCUCCUUUAUGUAAAAUACUUUGCAAUUUAA